AUUGAACGCUGGCGGCAUGCCUUACACAUGCAAGUCGAACGGUAACAGGUUAAGCUGACGAGUGGCGAACGGGUGAGUAAUACAUCGGAACGUGCCCAGUAGUGGGGGAUAGCCCGGCGAAAGCCGGAUUAAUACCGCAUACGACCUAAGGGUGAAAGGGGGGGAUCGCAAGACCUCUCGCUAUUGGAGCGGCCGAUGUCAGAUUAGCUAGUUGGUGGGGUAAAAGCUCACCAAGGCGACGAUCUGUAGCUGGUCUGAGAGGACGACCAGCCACACUGGGACUGAGACACGGCCCAGACUCCUACGGGAGGCAGCAGUGGGGAAUUUUGGACAAUGGGCGCAAGCCUGAUCCAGCCAUGCCGCGUGCGGGAAGAAGGCCUUCGGGUUGUAAACCGCUUUUGUCAGGGAAGAAAUCCUUUGGGUUAAUACCUCGGGGGGAUGACGGUACCUGAAGAAUAAGCACCGGCUAACUACGUGCCAGCCGCCGCGGUAAGAC
rnacentral:rRNA from 1 species